UGUAGCCUAUUUCCAUGGUGAAUUGUAGACGAGGAUGAUGAGAAUUAAAAAGGUGGAGAACUAAGUCAAAGCUGUCAGCAGGAACCAUUAGAGCUAUAUCAUCAACAUAUCGAACGUAAAAAGGAGGCUGAAAGUGUAAAGAAUUGAGGAUGUUCUGUUCGAGAUCUUGCAUAACAAUAUCAGCUAAAAUGGGGGAAAGAGGUGAUCCCAUCGGUGCGCCAAAGGUAAAGACGUCUCUUUACUUAUGAGAUGCCAUCUUGUCUCUAAACUAUUAAUUACUAAAUCCAGUGGAAUAUUG